rnacentral:rRNA from 1 species
AUUGAACGCUGGCGGCAUGCCUUACACAUGCAAGUCGAACGGCAGCGGACCUUCGGGUGCCGGCGAGUGGCGAACGGGUGAGUAAUAUAUCGGGAACGUACCUUUCAGUGGGGGAUAACGUAGCGAAAGUUACGCUAAUACCGCAUAUUCUGUGAGCAGGAAAGCAGGGGAUCGCAAGACCUUGCGCUGAUUGAGCGGCCGAUAUCAGAUUAGCUAGUUGGUGAGGUAAAGGCUCACCAAGGCGACGAUCUGUAGCGGGUCUGAGAGGAUGAUCCGCCACACUGGAACUGAGACACGGUCCAGACUCCUACGGGAGGCAGCAGUGGGGAAUUUUGGACAAUGGGCGCAAGCCUGAUCCAGCCAUGCCGCGUGAGUGAAGAAGGCCUCGGUU